AUCCCCUCUAGUGGGGACCCUCUCUCCCUAUUUUCUCUCACGCUGGUCCAGCAGUCUAGCUUCCUUCAACCACCAUCCCCAUCCUCAGAGCUUCAUCGACCCCCUUCUACUACUCAAGGUUUGCUUCCUUAUCCUCUCAUCCCCUUUGCGCAUCCCUCUUCUCCUCCAUGCCUCUCUUCUUAUCCUUCUCUCGCCCUCUGGCUCUCCCUCCUCUCCUCCGGCCAAGCCUCUGUAGUACUUCUCCUUCCUUCCUCUAGGCCUAAAACCUUAAACCAAUUUCUACCUAAAUCUUGACCGCUCCCUUAUCCCUCUUCACCAAUCUCUAUGAUUUGGAGCUCAUCCAUGGCUGUCGAGUCCAUCUCUCGCUUGAUCCACUCAAGAUCGAACCCUAACACUAAUACCCAAUUUCAACCUAAACCCUAUCUUGAUUUCUACCAUUCUACGACCUAUUUGUCUUUGAUUUCUUCCUGUCUUUAUAGUUUUAUGCACCCAUUGGUGGCAACAUGCUUGAUCUGCAAUGGAUCAAGCAUGUACUGGCAUCUGUGGACCUAUAUGCUUAAUCUAUCCCAGAUUAGGCGGUUAGAGAUAUCUAUGUUGGCUGCAUGCUUGAUCCUGAAAUGAUGAUGGUGUUCACUGGUGCUUAUGGAACCUAUGUCCAUCUUGGUAUGUAGUGGUAUCAUUGGGUGCAAUAGUGGUGUGAGUUUAUUUCUUACCCUUUAAAAUGAUGGUGCUAAUGGUUUAGGAUGGGAUCUUCUGCAAUGGAGACGGGUGUUUGUUGUUGCAUUGAUAAUAUGUUGCCAUGAUUGUUGUGUAGAUAAACUUUGUAGCUGUCUACCAGUCAUUACUGAUACAUACAUCAGAAUAUUAUUGCCAUGAUUACUGACUAUAUGCAUUAGCAUUGAUUACAUUAACUUGUGCAGUUACAAAAUUAUGAUUGACUUGUCUAAUGCUUCAUUCUUUCAUUAGUGUAUCUGUUCCUUUAGUGGUACCUAUGGUAGUGGCCACAAUUAUGGUCAUUGUGCUGAUAGUUGUCUUCCUUGUUAUCCUAUUUUAAAUAGAGUCCUUGCAUUAUGAUACCGUUAUCAUUUGUUAUUUUGUCUAUCUGGCAGGUUAAUGUGACUUCCAUGGGUAUUCUACUGAUUAUGGCACACAUGUUAUGCCACUUGACUCUAAUUUUGCCAUGGAUGAUUCCUUGGCAAUUCUGUCCUAUAUACAAAUAACUUACCUUACUUUCUCGUAUUUAUUGCUGCUAUUAAUUUUGAUGUUGAGUUAUAUGUGGAUGGUUGAUUAGCAUAGGUGUUUUUGAGCCAUUUACUGAUCAUUUUGUUGUAGAGCUAUAUGUGACUGGUUGACCAUCGCAAGUAUUGUUGAGCUAUAUAAUUUUGUUGUUGAGCUAUUUCUCUCUUUUGGAACAUGUGAAUUGUAAUAUUGCAAUUUUGUUCUCCCAUGUAUCUUUUUCAAUUUCUCUCUUAGCCAUUUUUUCUUGCAACAACCCAUGCAUCUUCUUAAUUUUCCUAUAGCUCAUUUUCGUUUUCUUUUUAUUUUCAGCUCUAUGAUGAUCGUCCAGUUCCACAUGUGCUUGAGAGCUAUCACUGCAAUGUCCCAUUUUGGGUUUAUAUGAUGCCUCUGUUAUUCACUUCCUCUUUCUUUCUCAUAGUCUACCUUGGUUUUGAUAGCAAAAGGUGACUUGGCUUUCAACUACCAACUUUAUACUUUGUGUUCAGUGUACUGAAAGCAAUACGAUAUCUGAACUGUUUUCCACCUUCCUCUUCUUGUUAGAAAGUAGUAAUUGCAAAGGAAUGAGAUCAUCCACAAUUAUAUAAGUAAAAUAUAUGCCCUAUAGUUUAUCACAAUUAUAUAAGUAAAAUGUAUGCACGAUAGUUUAUCCUUCAAGUUAAGGCUGAGUCAGCAUUAAUAGUCAAGGUGGACCUUAGUUACCUAAAGCAUGCACAGCUGUGAGAGCUGAUCAGGGUGUGAUACAGGUAGAGGAAGUGUAUCUCUCCAAAAAAUUUUGAGAUAUGACACCCUAAAUGGAAGUUUGCUAAUACUAAAAGCUAGACCCACACAAAAACAACCAAUUGCCACCCUUGGUAGUUUUAUUGUAAAAUAGACACCUUAAAUAUUGACUGCAACAAGGCUGAUGAGAAGGUAUUGUAAUGUUGCAACCUUUCGAACACCAUAUAACUGGAAGGGAAAUUAAUUUGUAAGGCAAUCAUAAACCAGUUAAAAGGAUCAGAGUGAUGUAAAAGAUACAUAAGUAUAGGUUGGGAUAAAUAGAUUGGGACAUAUGUGCAGUCGUUUACACAGAAUCAAAAUGAAACAGUGAAAGAGGAUGACAUAGAAAAUCCACAGAAAAACAAGACGACAAACAUGAGUGCACCUUCUGACAUAUCUAUCUCUUUCAUGAGAAAGCAAUUAGAACAAGACCAUUUCUUUAGGCCAAUCCUCUUGUUUUCCUAGGUCCCCCUUACAAAGACCCCAAUAAUUCUUUCAAGCCAAACAACUGAAAAACCAAA
rnacentral:lncRNA from 1 species